rnacentral:tRNA from 1 species
GCGGUCAUGGUGGAACGGCAGACACGCCAUCUUGAGGGGGUGGUGCCUUCGGGUGUGCGGGUUCAAAUCCCGCUGACCGCA